rnacentral:rRNA from 1 species
AUUGAACGCUGGCGGCAGGCCUAACACAUGCAAGUCGAGCGGUAGCACAGAGAGCUUGCUCUCGGGUGACGAGCGGCGGACGGGUGAGUAAUGUCUGGGAAACUGCCUGAUGGAGGGGGAUAACUACUGGAAACGGUAGCUAAUACCGCAUAACGUCGCAAGACCAAAGUGGGGGACCUUCGGGCCUCAUGCCAUCAGAUGUGCCCAGAUGGGAUUAGCUGGCAGGUGGGGUAACGGCUCACCUAGGCGACGAUCCCUAGCUGGUCUGAGAGGAUGACCAGCCACACUGGACCUGAGACACGGUCCAGACUCCUACGGGAGGCAGCAGUGGGGAAUAUUGCACAAUGGGCGCAAGCCUGAUGCAGCCAUGCCGCGUGUGUGAAGAAGGCCUUCGGGUUGUAAAGCACUUUCAGCGGGGAGGAAGGCGGUGAGGUUUAUAACCUCACUGAUUGACGUUACCCGCAGAAGAAGCACCGGCUAACUCCGUGCCAGCAGCCGCAGUAA